GACGAACGCUGGCGGCGUGCCUAAUACAUGCAAGUCGAGCGAAGUUUUUCUGGUGCUUGCACCGGAAAAACUUAGCGGCGAACGGGUGAGUAACACGUAAAGAACCUGCCUCAUAGACUGGGACAACUAUUGGAAACGAUAGCUAAUACCGGAUAAUAGCAUUAACUGCAUGGUUGAUGUUUAAAAGUUGGUUUUGCUAACACUAUGAGAUGGCUUUGCGGUGCAUUAGCUAGUUGGUGGGGUAAAGGCCUACCAAGGCGACGAUGCAUAGCCGACCUGAGAGGGUGAUCGGCCACACUGGGACUGAGAAACGGCCCAGACUCCUACGGGAGGCAGCAGUAGGGAAUCUUCCGCAAUGGGCGAAAGCCUGACGGAGCAACGCCGCGUGAGUGAAGAAGGAUUUCGGUUCGUAAAGCUCUGUUGUUAGGGAAGAAUGAUUGUGUAGUAACUAUACACAGUAGAGACGGUACCUACCCAGAAAGCUACGGCUAACUACGUG
rnacentral:rRNA from 1 species